rnacentral:rRNA from 1 species
GAGUGUGAUCUUAAAGUACUAAUGCACUGAAUCACAUUAAAACUUUACAAUCAAGUGUGUUUGGGCGAGAGAAAUAUUAGGAUGGAUAUAACUUUUUGAAAAGUCUUCAUGUCGCACCCU